CUUUUUAAAAGAUCCUGGAGCAUGGGUAGUUUUUCCUUUGUCAGGCCUAUCCCCAUGACAUAGAAUUUUCUCUUGGAUUUACAGGCCACAUCGUUUUCUAUCUGAUGUUUCUCACCCUAAAAGGCAAACCUCCUAAAGUGGAUCUCACAUAAAAUAACCCCAGGCUGACAUUUCUACUUGGAAUCUAUAUGUGAGUGCCAUGAUUAACCCAUAUUUGACCCACUUUCAGAGAUAAAGGAAGUAACUUCUCAGUUUUAGCCUUUUAUUCUGUUGCCAAAUAUCACUUGCACUUUAUAAGGCAUGAGCCACAAACUUUGGGAAACACAAAUAAAGCUUUCCAGGUAGCCUCUUCAAAACCUUUCUCACUGCCCUGGAGGUGAGAACCAGACACUACCCAUGUCUUCCCCACUGUGACAUUAGGAUUCCUAGAAACCUGAUGACGUUCUCAAAAUUUCUUUUUACAGAACUUUAUUACCAGUUCUCAGCUGCUGAAAAUGUUAAAAAUGAUCCAGGGCUUAAAGAGGUCAGAAAUUUUAAAAAGGCUCAGUGGAGAUGA
rnacentral:lncRNA from 1 species